GACGAACGCUGGCGGCGUGCUUAACACAUGCAAGUCGAACGGAAAGGCCCUGCUUUUGUGGGGUGCUCGAGUGGCGAACGGGUGAGUAACACGUGAGUAACCUGCCCUUGACUUUGGGAUAACUUCAGGAAACUGGGGCUAAUACCGGAUAGGAGCUCCUGCUGCAUGGUGGGGGUUGGAAAGUUUCGGCGGUUGGGGAUGGACUCGCGGCUUAUCAGCUUGUUGGUGGGGUAGUGGCUUACCAAGGCUUUGACGAGUAGCCGGCCUGAGAGGGUGACCGGCCACAUUGGGACUGAGAUACGGCCCAGACUCCUACGGGAGGCAGCAGUGGGGAAUAUUGCACAAUGGGCGGAAGCCUGAUGCAGCAACGCCGCGUGCGGGAUGACGGCCUUCGGGUUGUAAACCGCUUUCGCCUGUGACGAAGCGUGAGUGACAGUAAUGGGUAAAGAAGCACCGGCUAACUACGUG
rnacentral:rRNA from 1 species